GUUAAGAGGACGUCAUGAGGUAAUGCAGGUACACUGCUCAACACGUCUGAUGAGAUCACAGAUGCACAGGCACAAGUCAAGUUCAUUGAGCAGCGUGGCUGCCAAGCCCACAUCAUUUCCGCUGCUGUCUGAGCAGAUGAUUCUCCCGAGUCUCUGGUGUGUCUGCUCCUCAUGAUGCUGGAAAAGAUGUUGAUGACUCUCCCAGCGUCCUCCCACGUGUGCUGCGGCCAGGGGCGCACACAACAGGAAAGGCCACUCACUCAUCUGAACUCAGAUGGAACGGGAUGAUAUUUGGCUGGAGGUUAGAAAGACUCCAACCACAGAAGGAUUUGUCUCCAAACUUCAAAAGAAGACAGGAGACUGAAAUAACAAACUCAGGGAAAACCAGUCCUUUGGCACUGCUUCGCGUGCACACAGCGGGCUGGAGGCAGGUGCGGGGGACUCAUCUGGGCAACAGCUAGCAAGCCCCCGUGUCCAUCAUCACCGAGACACCAAGUGCCACAUCACAGAGACUGGCACAGUGCUAUCCGACUGGGGUCUGCACUGUCACCCAGGUGCAGGCAUUCUGCUGAGGUGAAAUAUACCG